GCCAAAGCUGUAGCCGCGCUGAGAAAUGGCCGCAGCCGCCGCUCCGUCAGCCGCCUGCGGCCCCGCGGUUCCUCUGACUGAGACUCACCUGUCCCCCGGCGCCCAGAGCGAGCAGUCGGCUGCGGCAGCCACGCUGAUGAACGGCGCGGCGGUAAUGGCAUCAGGUGGUAAGAGCUGCCGCGCGGAAGCGAAGAGCGGCGGUCGUUGCCAGGCCUCGAAGCAACGGCGGCGGCGGGAGGAGGAGGAGGACGAGGACGACGAGCCGGUGGAGGAGGAUGACGAGGAUGAGGAGGAAGACGACGAGGAGGAAGAGGAUGAGGAGGACGACGAAGAAGAGAGCGAACCUGGCGGUCCCCGCAGGGCCCGCGCCCACUCCGCCGGUGGACAGCCCACGUCCCCGAACACGCACCGGCCCCAGGGCCCAGUCCGCGGCCCCCAGCACCAGCAGGCGGCGAACGCGGCGUCCAGGACCGGAGCCAGGGGCGGCCAGCAGCAACAGCAGCAGCAACAACAACAACAGCAACAGCAGCACCAGCGCGGACGGGACGAGACGGCAGCACCGGCCUCCGGCAACAGGAGGCAGAGUUUGGAGAACUCGUCGGACGGCGAGCCGCUCAGCCGCAUGGACUCGGAGGACAGUAUCAGCAGCACCUUAAUGGAUAUGGACAGUACUAUCUCCAGUGGACGCUCUACUCCUGCGCUGAUAAACGGUCAUGGAAGCACUACUUCAGGAAAGAAUAUCACUUACAACUGCUGUUGGGACCAAUGCCAGACCAGUUUCUGCUCCAGUCCAGAUUUGGCAGAUCACAUCCGUUCAAUUCAUGUGGAUGGGCAACGUGGAGGGGUAUUUGUUUGCCUGUGGAAAGGGUGCAAAGUGUACAACACACCAUCUACUAGUCAGAGCUGGUUGCAGAGGCACAUGCUUACACACAGCGGAGACAAGCCAUUUAAGUGUGUUGUUGGUGGUUGCACUGCUAGCUUUGCAUCUCAAGGUGGCCUUGCUCGGCAUGUCCCCACUCACUUUAGCCAACAAAACUCUGCAAAGGUCACUAAUCAGCCGAAGGUCAAAGAAGAGUCCCCUUCUAAAGCAGUAAUGAAUAAACGAAGGAGGCUAAAAAAUAAGCGCCGACGGUCAUUACCGCGACCACAUGACUUUUUUGAUGCUCAAACAAUGGAUGCCAUAAGACAUCGUGCCAUCUGCUUUAAUCUGUCGACCCAUAUUGAAAGUCAUGGAAAUGGGCAUAGUGUUGUGUUUCAUAGCACAGUAAUAGCGAGGAGGAAAGAGGAUUCUGGAAAAGUGAAAGUGCUGCUUCACUGGACACCAGAAGACAUAUGCGUUUGACCUGUUGAGUAUUUCUGUCAUCAGCAGUAUUUUGCUUUCGUAUUCUUUUUUUCUGAAAGAUGCUAACAAACAUAUUUGGAACAUAGAAGAUGAAACACUGAAUUCUAGGCUCCAGAAGGAACCCAACCACUUUCAGGUGAAAGGACAGUUUAGGUGUUGUUGUAGAAGAAGAAGAAGAAGAAGAAGAAGAAGCCUACUGCGAAUAAUGCUUAAUAUGUUCUAUUUCACAUUGAGGAAACCACGUGCAGAUGCAGGAUUAUUUUACAGAUCAUCUCCAUUCAGUUUGGAAGGAUGAUCAGCUUCCAGUUGUCUGUGGUUUUAGAUGUCCACCACCCUCAACUCAGACCCCUCACUUUGGUUGUGUAUGCUCUUCCAGUGAAAAUCAAUAUACGCAAGUUCAAUGAAAAUUACUUAACUACUUUCAUUUGUGCCGCCACAUGAACACCUGUGUUGCAGGAAGGACUACAGAGACAUCAAGUGGCAGAAUAAGGAUACUGCCCAUAUGCCAGAUCUACAAGUUAUAGUACACUGUAGUUGAAGCUACUGAUCUGGGUGUGUGAAUUAUUGUAUUUUCUGGGGGGUGGGGAGUGUUUUCCUUAACUUUUUUAAAAAAUAAAUUGUAGCUGCUUUUCAUCCCUGUUCUUACCACCGAUCACAAUCCAUUUCCCACUUUAUCCAUCAUUGAUUUAUUGAGAACUGAAUCAGUGACUGGAUGUUAAUCUUUCUUUUGUCCUCUGCCAGAAGUGGGCAAACUUCUUUUAAGUACACUGUACAUGCUACUUUUAAGUUGAAAUCUUAUCAUUAGUGUUUGUGAUGCUGAAACAAAUUCAUAACAGUGAAGGAUCAAAAUAGUUUAAUCACUGUUUUCUGUAAAGGCCCAAGUUUAAAUACUUUGAGCUGAAUCUCCUUCUCAAGUCAUUAAAUCUGUGCUUUUAAGUUUGGAUGCAGUAAACCAAGCUAUUAUUAAAAUCUACCCCAAUUUCCAAUCAAGUGGUUAAUAUUUAAAACAUCAUUUAAAAACCAGAGUUCCAUACAGUCACCAGAAUAUAACGCACAGUUUACUUUCAGUUACAAAAUCAGAUUUUUAAAACUUUGUAUUGCUUUCACAACAAGCACUACAACUUUAAACCUUGUUUUAAUCUUGUCUCUGAAAUGCCUUUGCUAAAUUAAUUUUUCCCAGUCAAUAAAUGUGAGGGGAAUGUUUAAACUCUAUUUAUUCUCCAGAAUUCAUGGUUAGCCCUCACAAGUAUGGUGAUGUCCAUUUCUAUCUUGAAACCACUUCCUUUGACUCUGAGUAGCUGGUCUGUGGAAAUUACCAGAAAGGUAAUAAUUAGAGUCAAGAAGCCCUUUCAGCCCAUCUAUAUUGGUGCUGGGGGAACUCAACAGGUCCGAAAACAUCCGUGGGCACCAAAGGGUGGUUAACAUUUCUAGUCAAUACCAUGCACAUCAGGACCCUAUUUUGUGGUUGUGAACAGUUCCCACAAGGCUGACUUUAAACAUUAAAGUUUUGCUUAACACUAACCUUGAAUGAUUUCGAAACACUGCUGAAUAGCUGCAAACAUUAUGGUUAAAUUUGAUGGAAAGAUGGAAGCCCUCAAAACAAAUAAUAUAAUAGGGGUCUUAGGCUGAGGUAAUUCGCCAGCAGAACUGAUGUCUGAUAAUGCAACUGAGGUAUAUUACUAUGCAUUUAGGCAAAGCUAAUGUGUUGUGUAGUAAUAUGUUUUGUAGCAAUUUGU